GCAAAGGUGCCCAGCAGACACCCCUUCUGCCCUCUCUCAGGCUGCGUUCAGAGCUGGGAGCAGAGAGGCCAGACGGAGGAGGAUGCCACCCAGCCUGGCCGCACAGGGCCCAAGGUGACUGGGAGGACCCCGGCUUCCCUCUCACCCCACCCCAGGGGCUCCGGGCAAAUGACCUCAGCCUGAAGCAGCCAGUGAGGAGGCGUUUGUAGGGCCACUGGGGUUUGCCAGCUCCUCACUGGCAGAUGACCUGGGGGAAGCAGUUUAAUAGGUGUGUGUGCCCUUCUAUCAUGCGUGUCAGUGACCAGAAAGGCAGAGACCAAAGAGCAAAGCUAAAAUUCAAGUAAUGGACUAUUUGGAUGAUAGCGUGCCCGGAAUUGGUUCCUUCCGAUAUUCUUGGUCUCGCUGACUUUAACAAUGAAGCCUCAGACCAUUGCGCACAGUCCAGUGUUAAGACAGGGCAUGAGGACCAGCUCCACUGGAAACACCAGCCAGCGUCUUAACCGGGGAGGAAGGAAGGUGUGUGCUGGGCAAGUGGGGCAUGUGACAAAGUGGAACUGAAGUGGCCGUCGCUUGCCUUUAGGCCAGCAGGUUCCUCAGCAGCCUUUGCUCAUAGGCUGGCUUAACUAUGAUCCUGCUGUGGGAAGAUAAAAAAACUGACCGAAGGAGAUAGGCUGAGUAAUGGCUCCCUCAAGAUGUCCAUAUUUCAUCCCUGGAACCUGUGAAUACAUUUCUUUAUGUGGCAAAAGGGACUUUGUGGCUGUGAUUAAACUAAGAACCUUGAAAUGAGGAGAUUCUCCGGGAUCGUCCAGAUGCAUCAAAUGUAACAAGAAGGAGUCAGAGUCAGGCUGGAAGCCGCUAUGCUGCUGGCUUUGAAGGCAGAUGAAGGGGCCAAGGAAUUAGGGUGGUCUCUAGAAUCUGGAAAAGGCAAUGAAAUUGAUUCUCCCCUAGAGCUUUCAGAAGGAAUGCAGCCUUGCCCACACCUUCAUUUUAGACCAGUGAAACUGAUUUUAGACUUCUGACUGCCAGAACUGUAAGAUAAUAAAUGUAUAUUGUUUGAAGCUACUAGGUUUGUGGUCAUUUGUUACAUCAGCAACAG
rnacentral:lncRNA from 10 species